AGCUUUGCGCAGUGGCAGUAUCGUAGCCAAUGAGGUCUUUCCGAGGCGCGAUUAUUGCUAAUUGAAAAAUUAGAAAUGAAAGGAGAAAUAAAAACUGACACCACAGAAAUAGAAAGGAUAAUGAGAGAAUAUUUUUGAAAAAUUAAAUGCCAACAAAUUGG
rnacentral:snRNA from 13 species